UGGCUGAAAUGUGACUCCGGCAUGUGUGAAACAGGACUCUGGUGUGGCUUCCACAUGUCUCAGGCAUGGCUGACACGUGACUCAGGCAUUCAUUGCACAGUAUCCAUGUGUGGCAGACAUGUAGCCAUGUGUGUGUGACAUGCAGUACAGGUGUUUGUCCCGCGUGACUCACAGGUUGCUGAAACCUGGCUCCCACAUACUCAAUCAUGGCUGGCACGUGGCUCACGCAUGGCUCAGCUGUGUUUCAUGUGUGGCUCCCCUGUGCGUCAUGUGUGUUCCAACAUCGAAUGUGUGUGUUUCACACGUGGUUCAGUUGUGGUUCAAGUGUGUCUCACAUGUGGUUCAUGCAUGGCUCAUACAUGGUUCGGGUGUAAUGCCAGCGUUGCUCACACACGACUCGUGUGGGUCCUCGAGACACAGGCAUGCCUGACACGUCACACAGGUGCGAUUCACACAGGGUUCAUGCAUGGCCUCUGUGUGGGUCAGGGGUGGCUGGUGCAUGGUUCACACAUGGGUGGCUCGUGGUUCAGGCGUGGCUGACAUGUGACACAGGCAUGUGUGAAACCUGACUCCGGUGUGCCUGGCGCAUGACUCAGGCAUGGCUGACACAUGACUCAUGCAUUCAUCUCACAGUUUCCGUGUAUGGCAGACAUGUG
rnacentral:lncRNA from 1 species